CAUUAAAAUAACAAAAGGACUGAAUUACUCAUUCGUCAUUCACCAGGUUUCAUUUUGUUCAUUUUGUUUUCCAAUUCAUUUCAUUCGACAGUUCUACCUCUUAAUCCCUAAUCCCUCGAAAUCCUUCAAUCUGGACACUAGAGACGAAGAAGUCAUUCACCUUUCAUAAACCCUUCGGUCUAAGCGUUAUGAAACAUAACGCAUAUUUUUGAUGAGCUUAAUCCUAACACCAUGAAUUUCAAAGUCAAAGUUAAAGUGAUUGAGAAGGGAAGGCAGAGGUUGUAUUCAAAUGCUAGAUCAACUAUUUAUCAACUUAUGUAUCUUGUUGAUGAUAAGGGUGUUCGUGAGUUAGAGAAGUAGUUGUGAAUCGCUCGUGGUUGAUCAAGGUGAAUAUUUCAGGUGGAAAUUGAUUGAUGCAUAUGGGAGUCCACGGGAAUUUCACCUAGCUAGGAAAAGUUUGAGUCGUUUUAUGUCACGAAUUAUGAACGAAUUUUACUAUGGUUUAUUUAAUAAAGAAUAAAGUUUUCCACUGCAAAA